AGAGUUUGAUCAUGGCUCAGAUUGAACGCUGGCGGCAGGCCUAACACAUGCAAGUCGAACGGUAACAGGAAGCAGCUUGCUGCUUCGCUGACGAGUGGCGGACGGGUGAGUAAUGUCUGGGAAGCUGCCUGAUGGAGGGGGAUAACUACUGGAAACGGUAGCUAAUACCGCAUAAUGUCGCAAGACCAAAGAGGGGGACCUUCGGGCCUCUUGCCAUCGGAUGUGCCCAGAUGGGAUUAGCUUGUUGGUGGGGUAACGGCUCACCAAGGCGACGAUCCCUAGCUGGUCUGAGAGGAUGACCAGCCACACUGGAACUGAGACACGGUCCAGACUCCUACGGGAGGCAGCAGUGGGGAAUAUUGCACAAUGGGCGCAAGCCUGAUGCAGCCAUGCCGCGUGUAUGAAGAAGGCCUUCGGGUUGUAAAGUACUUUCAGCGGGGAGGAAGGGAGUAAAGUUAAUACCUUUGCUCAUUGACGUUACCCGCAGAAGAAGCACCGGCUAACUCCGUGCCAGCAGCCGCGGUAAUACGGAGGGUGCAAGCGUUAAUCGGAAUUACUGGGCGUAAAGCGCACGCAGGCGGUUUGUUAAGUCAGAUGUGAAAUCCCCGGGCUCAACCUGGGAACUGCAUCUGAUACUGGCAAGCUUGAGUCUCGUAGAGGGGGGUAGAAUUCCAGGUGUAGCGGUGAAAUGCGUAGAGAUCUGGAGGAAUACCGGUGGCGAAGGCGGCCCCCUGGACGAAGACUGACGCUCAGGUGCGAAAGCGUGGGGAGCAAACAGGAUUGGAUACCCUGGUAGUCCACGCCGUAAACGAUGUCGACUUGGAGGUUGUGCCCUUGAGGCGUGGCUUCCGGAGCUAACGCGUUAAGUCGACCGCCUGGGGAGUACGGCCGCAAGGUUAAAACUCAAAUGAAUUGACGGGGGCCCGCACAAGCGGUGGAGCAUGUGGUUUAAUUCGAUGCAACGCGAAGAACCUUACCUGGUCUUGACAUCCACGGAAGUUUUCAGAGAUGAGAAUGUGCCUUCGGGAACCGUGAGACAGGUGCUGCAUGGCUGUCGUCAGCUCGUGUUGUGAAAUGUUGGGUUAAGUCCCGCAACGAGCGCAACCCUUAUCCUUUGUUGCCAGCGGUCCGGCCGGGAACUCAAAGGAGACUGCCAGUGAUAAACUGGAGGAAGGUGGGGAUGACGUCAAGUCAUCAUGGCCCUUACGACCAGGGCUACACACGUGCUACAAUGGCGCAUACAAAGAGAAGCGACCUCGCGAGAGCAAGCGGACCUCAUAAAGUGCGUCGUAGUCCGGAUUGGAGUCUGCAACUCGACUCCAUGAAGUCGGAAUCGCUAGUAAUCGUGGAUCAGAAUGCCACGGUGAAUACGUUCCCGGGCCUUGUACACACCGCCCGUCACACCAUGGGAGUGGGUUGCAAAAGAAGUAGGUAGCUUAACCUUCGGGAGGGCGCUUACCACUUUGUGAUUCAUGACUGGGGUGAAGUCGGAACAAGGUAACCGUAGGGGAACCUGCGGUUG
rnacentral:rRNA from 1 species